rnacentral:rRNA from 1 species
UACGGAGGGUGCAAGCGUUAUCCGGAUUCACUGGGCGUAAAGGGCGCGUAGGCGGCAAUUCAAGUCAUCUGUGAAAUCUCCGGGCUUAACUCGGAACGGUCAGGUGAUACUGCUUUGCUAGAGUGCGGAAGGGGCAAUCGGAAUUCUCGGUGUAGCGGUGAAAUGCGUAGAUAUCGAGAGGAACACCUGAGGUGAAGACGGGUUGCUGGGCCGACACUGACGCUGACAGCGCGAAAGCCAGGGGAGCAAACGGG